CAGAGGCACUGCUCCACUCCAAGUCCAGCAAUGAGUACGGUAAUUUGGACAUGGCCCAAAGAGGGUGAAAGGCCCGUUGGGGUGGAGGCGCAGAAAUGCCAGUGUCUUUCUGGGUAGACCUUGGAGUCGGGUUGUUUGAGAAUGCAGCCCAAAGUGGGUGGUAAACUCCAUCCAAGGCUAAAUACUUACACGAGUCCGAUAGCGAACAAGUACCGUGAGGGAAAGUUGAAAAGUACUUUGAAGAGAGAGUAAACAGUGCGUGAAACCGCUCAGAGGUAAACGGGUGGAGUUGAACUGUGAUCCCUGUGGAUUUAGCCGGUGAGUGUGGUUUGAGCUUGGUCAAAUUGGCUGAUACUUGGAGUCUGCKUAGCAGCAGGUCCUGCCUUUUGGUGGGGAUGCGCGAUACACUUACCAAGUGUUGCGCGCUCUUUGUAUAUUCGGGCCAGCUUGCCGGUGCACUUUCACAGGGUGUUCACCACGACCGGCAUCGCUGUCUGGCUGUUGCGGUUAAACCGUCCUUGCAUUUACCUUCGGGUCUGUGUCUGGGCGGGAUGGCAGGUAACUGGUUGACUUGCUUACGGUUCGCCGUGGGCGCUCUUCCGGUGUAAUUUAAGCUGACCGCUUCUGGCUAGUGCAGUAUGUCGGGGACGGCGGCUUGUGGUGUGUGCGUGCGUUUCAGCCUCUUGGCGUUUCCGGGUUUGGUUGUUCUGUUGCCUGUGUUUGCAGGCCUGGCAAUAGCUCGGAGUCGUUCGAUUGGCGGUUGCGUACGUUUCACUAUAUCCAGGGCCAAUAGUCUGUGGUGUUGCGGUAGACUUUCCACCUGACCCGUCUUGAAACACGGACCAAGGAGAGUAACAUGUGCGCGAGUCAUUGGGCGUAACGAAACCCAAAGGCGAAGUGAAAGUAAAGGUCUGGCUUGUCYGGWCUGAGGUGAGAUCCUGUCGUUUCCCACGCGCGGUAUCACCAAGCAUSGAGCGGCAGGCGCAUCACCGGCCCGUCCCAUGGUGUGGUGGCAUUCUUCGGAGUGUUCAUCACCGGGGCGGAGCAUGAGCGUACAUGUUGAGACCCGAAAGAUGGUGAACUAUGCUUGCGCAGGU
rnacentral:rRNA from 1 species